CAUCAGCAAAAAAUCUGAGACGGCCAAGUUCAUCACGAGCAUAUUGGCCGGCGUUCUGAGUGCCGGGAAGCUUCCCAAGAUUCUCAACACCAUCCAAUUGCCACCGAUGGCCACAACACCUUUUAUCAUCAAACGAAACAAGCAUCGUACUGGUUGAACUCCGUGAGUUUUUUUUUUGCUUCGUCAUGACAUCUCCCAAGCACUUGUAACUACAGGUUCAAUACAAACAGUGGAUCAAUGGCAUCGAAUUAGAAUCGACGUUCGCCCUACAAUAAGUACCAUUGCGACAAUGCACUGCAAAUCAGUUUUCAGUUGCCGUUCAUCUGCGGGGAGGUACGCUGCUGCGGUCUUCUGCGCCAAAGCCAUGACUGUCAUUUCUGCUGAACGAUUCGUUGUCACUCUCGUAUCGUUAACGGUUCAAGAAAGUCAUUCGUAAUACAAAAGAAAAACAAACUUUCAAAAGGAAAUAAAUUACAAAAUUAACUAGUGCUUUGUAAUUGGAUUGGAUACACAUCUACAGACUAGAUGACGUUUUUCUUCGUUACAAAUGCUUUAUCUUGGAAAA